rnacentral:rRNA from 1 species
GAUGAACGCUGGCGGCGUGCCUAAUACAUGCAAGUCGAGCGAACAGACGAGGAGCUUGCUCCUCUGACGUUAGCGGCGGACGGGUGAGUAACACGUGGAUAACCUACCUAUAAGACUGGGGUAACUUCGGGAAACCGGAGCUAAUACCGGGUAAUAUAUUGAACCGCAUGGUUCAAUAGUGGAAGACGGUUUUGCUGUCACUUAUAGAUGGAUCCGCGCCGCAUUAGCUAGUUGGUAAGGUAACGGCUUACCAAGGCAACGAUGGGUAGCCGACCUGAGAGGGGGAUGGGCACCGCCGGAAUGGGAACACGGUCCAGACUCCUACGGGAGGCAGCGGUAGGGAAUCUUCCGCAAUGGGCGAAAGCCUGACGGAGCACCGCCGCGUGAGUGAUGAAGGUCUUCGGAUCGUAAAACUCUGUUAUUAGGGAAGAACAAAUGUGUAAGUAACUAUGCACGUCUUGACGGUACCUAAUCAGAAAGCCACGGCUAACUACGUG